AUUGAACGCUGGCGGCAGGCCUAACACAUGCAAGUCGAACGAGUGGCGGACGGGUGAGUAAUGUCGGGGAAACUGCCCGAUGGAGGGGUAUAACCACUGGAAACGGUCGCAAAUACCGUAUCCUAUGGUAUGGCCCCAGAUGGUAUGAGCUAGUAGGUGGGGUAACGGCUCACCUAGGCGACGAUCCCUAGCUGGUCUGAGAGGAUGACCAGCCACACUGGAACUGAGACACGGUCCAGACUCCUACGGGAGGCAGCAGUGGGGAAUAUUGCACAAUGGGCGCAAGCCUGAUGCAGCCAUGCCGCGUGUAUGAAGAAGGCCUUCGGGUUGUAAAGUACUUUCAGCGAGGAGGCGUUACUCGCAGAAGAAGCACCGGCUAACUCCGUGCCAGCAGCCGCGGUAAUAC
rnacentral:rRNA from 1 species